GCUGUUGGUUGUAUAAUCGCGCGGGAAUUUUACCCGUGAGGAAAGUCCGUGCAACAUAGAGCAGGGCAGCAGAUAACUUCUGCGGGGGGCGACCCUACGACUUAGUGCAACAGAGAUUAUACCGCUCCCGAUAUAUUUCGGGAGUAAGGGUGGAAAGGUGGGGUAAGAGCCCACCAUAGUUUGUGAGAACAAAUUGAUGUGUAAACUCUGCCCGUUGCAACUUCGCUAAUGGAAAUCGGGGUUAAAUGCUUGCUCGGCAUUCCGAUUUGGCGAAGGCUCGAAAUGCUCGGCGACGAGUAUUCAAGAUAGAUGAUUAUACGCGACAGAACACGGCUUACAGACCAACAGCCGAC
rnacentral:RNase_P_RNA from 1 species